CGCCUCUUGCAAUGGGCAAAGAAAUACCUUGUUGGUGGUACUAUUCUUCUAUCAGUCAGGGGCAGAGCAUAUGGCAGUCCUUUGUUCAUCUUAGCUUGAUGCCUGGCUUGGUGGCCAAAGUUGACUUAUGCCUAGGACUCAUAA